UCUUCUUCUUUCUUCCUUCCUCUUCUGUUCUUCUUCUCGCCAGACCCACCGAGAGAGAGAGUGACAUCGAGAGAUUGAGAUAGGAGAGAAACAGAGAAAGAGUGAGAGAGAGAGAGAGAGAGAGAGAGAGACUCGAGGGAGACAGAGAGAUGAGACCGAGAGAUAGGGAUAGGAAGAGUCAGAGAUCGGGAGAGAGGGAGCUGAACCCGGAACCCAGAGGACCCGAUCCUCUGUGGACGGUGGCCAGAACCGGAAUCCGACCGUCCAGUGGCGCGAUUUCCAGCGGGUCAGGCGUUGUUCCUGCCGGUCGUGGAGGACUUGAGUGGCCGGAGGUCCGAUUUCAGUGGCUGUCGUUCGUGAGACCCGAGAGACCCGUAACUCCAAACCCGGUCUUCCCUUGGAACCUGUGAAGCCCGACCUUCAGUGGCGAAGUCCGGCGCGAUUUACGGCGAUUGGAUGCAGUUCUCCGGUGGUUUUCGUCCGCAGUGGACUGCCCAGCAAUCCGUGCAACUCGUGACCUGUUUGUGUGUAACCCGAUCGACCCGCCAGACUCGAGAGGAAGACCCGGUUCUUCAAAGCUAUUUCCGGCGACUUUUCCGGCGGAAUCAGUAGCGAGUUCCGGUGGUUUUACUAUGAAAAUCAUUGGGGUCAUUUCUUAUAACCUAUGAUGAUUUUAUUAUGGGGAUUAAUUUGCUUAUUAUGGAAUUAGGGUUUGAUUAUUUUGGGGCUUUUCAAUCGAUUGUGUUUAAAUAGGUUGAUUGAGUGUUUGUGGGUAUUCUGUUUUCUGUUCUUGGUUGAUUCAGUGGGUGUACGUGUGUGCUUUGGCAGAUUUGGGUUUCUUGUGUCUUAACCGAUUAUUUAGUGUUUGGAUUUUUGAUGCUUUUGGCCAAAUGGUUUUGAGGUUAAAAUUGUCUCUGUUGUGACUGUGAUGGACUGAUUUGAGGUGUUUGGCCAUGUAUUAAUUUUGGGUAGACUCUCCUAAUUUGGCAGUGUAUGUAGGUUAGACUUGUGAUAUUUCAUGUUGAAUUUUAGUUGUGGUGAUAAUUUUUCUAAAUGAUCUUGCUGAGGAUUUUUAUGAAAGACUUUUGGUUAGUGGCUGAUGUUGGUUGAAAUCUCUUUUAUGGAAAAUUUUGUUAGGGUUAAUAUUAUUUGUGAUUCUUUGAUGAUUUUCUUGAGUUAUGUUGAUGGAAAUUAGUCAUGGAUGAAGGGCUGACUUGAGAUUUGAUUUGGGGAUGUUGUGAAGGAUAUUAUGUAGAAAACAUAAUAGAUAUUGAAGAUUUUGGAUAAUUAAAUUGGAAAUUGUAGAUUUUAUUUGAAUGAAUUGUAAAUAAAUUUUGAGUGAAAAGAGCGAUCAAAUCGGUAUUACAAUUUCUUUGAGUAUAUUGGUUGAAUGGUUAAAUGGUAGGUUUUGGCGAAAUUGAAUUUUUAUCAAGGAAAGUUUUAGUCGAAUAGAAAUACUGUAUACUUAUAUGCUGUAAAUUUUGGAAAGAAAUUUUGUAUAUAGUAUAUAUAUAUAUAUAUAUAGGAUAAUUUAAUUUAAGUCUUAGAACUGAAAUUUCAAAACGCUCCGCUAAAUUUAUCCUCGUGUUUUAUUUAGGUAAAAGCUCAACACUGACACUAAUGAAAAAUCCAGGUAAGGGAACACUACCUAAAAAUCCCGGCGAAAUUUUAAUAAAACUUUUCAAAAGAAAAGUCGGGAAUUUUCCUAAAACUGCCUCAUUUCUCUAUAUUGAUUGUCACUUUAAAUUCUGUCAUGAUAUUACUCUUAUUAUCAAAUGUGAUUGGGAAAUCAUGUGAUUAUAUGAUUAUAGCUUUCAAAGUAUGAAUUGUGAAUUAAGAUAAUGAAACUACGGUUCUCAAAAUGUAUGUGCUAUAUGAUGAUUUCAUGAGAUUCUGUAUAGUUGUAUUUGUGCAUCAUAUCGUAUAUGUUGCAUAUGCUCCAUGUGAGCGGAUAAUGAUGAUAUUAUCGUAAUUAUAUGUGCAUAUAUUACACACAGUUUUGCCCCACGGCUGCAUCGGGUGUUGAUCCGGAUUCAAGUAGGGGAGCAUGGCAACCACACCAAAAGUGUGGGCUAUCGGUCGGGGGAUCUUCACCUAAGGAAGUUCCUAGCCCGACGGCUCUUCUCUGUGACGACAGGAUGAGCGUUUUGGUCCUUCGGGAUCGGUCCCCAUGGAUAUGCCAAACAUAAUGUGCGCUGCUCACGGUUAAAUAGCAGAGAUGACGCAGAAAGACGAAGUUAAUUCUUGUAAAGGGGUACACCUCGCUAAGAGAAAUGGUUCGUUGUGGACCGACCAUUGUAUAGUAUAUCCCUUUUUGGAGUUUAUGGCUUUGUAACUAAUUAAUUAUAGGCAAUAAUAAAAAAAUAAAAAUAAA